rnacentral:lncRNA from 1 species
UUUCGCACUGGGAUAUAGUUCGAUGUUUUUUGGCCGCAAUUGUGUGCAACUGUAUUUUAUUGUAAUCCAAUGAAACAAGUUUUAAUCCUUGAAAAGAAACACACGCUGUGGUAUACGGCUGCUAAUGCGUUGUUUUAGAUCAUUUUUAUUUUUGUUUAUCUUUUCGGGUUUUCUUUGCAACCCGUCACGAGGACCCACACGUGCAUGCUCGCACGAGCGAACGCUGGUUGGCGCGAAGCGAAGCGAGGACGGAACGUGCGGAGUGCUAACUUUUCCUGACCGAACUUCUUGCGUAGCUUCCACAACGUUGAUAUGCAUGGAACGGAGUAUCGGCAUUUGGCCCGCAGCCGUUCCAAGCUUAGGCUAUGGUUAGGCUUAGGUAGCGGCCUGCGGGAGCGGUUGGGAGGACGGGCGCCGAGCGUCAGCGCUCGCCAGCGUCUUCGGUAGGAAAGGCCAGAGAAAAUACUUCGCAGCAGAAGAGCAAGCUGAAGCGCAAGCAGCAACCACGGUGUUCAACGGUGGACAUUAUAUGUACAACGGUGGACAAUAUAUAUAUGCGACUCAGACGCCCAGUAUGUUAACUACGGUGACGGCGGCGACGACAAGUGUACCUCUGGUGUAUGGACAUUUCUUCGAUGGCGAGUUUGGGUUCAUUAAGGAUUGCAUCCACCGGAACAAGUGGCGGCAGGGCAUAGUGCUGGUGUCCGCCAAGCUGCGGCAGCUACCCCUGGCUCUUCGGCAGCCGGUCACCGAGCUACGCCGACUCAAGGAUGACGAUGUCAUUGAGUGUGUGUCAGUAUCCGAAUGCGUAUCACCACUUGUGGUGACCUGCAAAAAGAAUGGCACCAUCCAGCUCUGUGUCGUCCUUUGGGAACCAAACAAGGCCAUCAUCAUCAACGGUUAUCUACUACCCUACGUGAAGAACUGCUCCACAUGUUAAAUGGCAAGGAGGGCAAGUCUUAUUGCAGCCUCCCAGAAACCUUCCUCAUGGGUAUGGCUGAAGACGACUUAAGCCACUUGCCUGUAAACAGUGGCCUCAAGGAAGUCUGGCAUCUCGGCAAUUGGUAGCAGUUGGUCUUUUACCAGUUGCAUAGCGCAUGUGAAUUCAUUUUUCUCUUUUUUCUAUUCUGCAAUGGUGCUGUUGAAAGCAUCAAUGAAUUCAUCCAUACUGUCACAAAAAUUUGCUGAGAAGAGCGACGUGCCCUAACAUACACAAGAGCCCUAGUGGUGACUGAAACACGCACUAAACCCUUUGGUUGCACGUUUCACUUUCGUGUUGUUGAAUGGAAUUGGUAGAUGUCUUUUUAUUAGUUUCAGUGCCAGUCUAAGGCUAAGCUCAUGUGUUGUAGUGAUAUGCGACCAGUCCAUAACCUUAUUCCAAUAUGCAAUCUGUGGAGUGUAGGUUGUUCUGCUUUGUUUUCACGUGUACACCAUAUAAAUAAUUAAAAGGAUGCAAAAUCCGUCAACACUGAGAAAUGGCUGUGCCACAGAUAGAACUUGGGAUAGAACUCAAGCUGCCUAGCUAAGCUCACAUUAGAGGCUCGCUGGUCACGUAUGAGUAGUUUGACAGUGAUUCCAGUCUCGUUUAACUGUUUAAUAGGAGACAUUAUUAAGCUGCACAGUUCUGACAUCGAUGCGGCCAUUUGUGUAGGCAACUGGCCGAACCCAUCCCAUAGGAGAUACCAGAGAGCAAAACCAUCAUGGCUCAGUCUACGACGAAAAAAGUUCGCUCAGCAGCAUUGGCAGUGAAUCCCUGUGCAACAUCUUGGGUUACAUUGUUAAUCAAAUUUGUCUUUAGCAUCCUUUUAUCAAAUAUAGAGAACACAUGUAGUUGAGCCCACAGCAUGAUCUAGUUGCCAGUGAGAUUGAUGGCGUUAUCCUUGGAGUUAUCACAGCUGUAACUUAUAUAGGAGAGUCACCUCCUGAUUGAAAACUCACUGGGCGGGGUUAACAUUGAGGGCAAGAACUGAUAUACCCGUGACCCACAGAAAUGCAAGUACAGUGCAGAUUUUUUCAUCCACUCAGCACACCGCUCACCCUUGCCUUUUUUUCAAUUAUAGUUUAGCAUGGCUUUUUAGUAGUUGCAGUCAUCCUGCUGCUGGCUGUCUGUUUCAGGGGCACAAAAUAACCAGAACAAAAUAGUUAUUGAAACACUAACAAUAUGACUUAAGAGGGGGGGACGCUGUGGUUGAAAUGAUGUUCAUUUGCUUCAACAUUAUUAAUGAAACUUUCUAGUCCCAUUAAGAUUUUUGUGCUGAUUUUAAAUAUGUAAUUUUUCUUCCAGUAGGCCAUUUAGUUAUGAAGGUAAAUGAAAUUCAUUGUUCAUCAUUUGCAGAAACAAUAGAAAAAUAACCGCGCUACAAAAAUUCAUAUUGGUGCUAGGUGCCUAGGUGCUAGAAAACAUAAGGAAAAGAAUGGUAGGAAUACUUUUUUUAUAUAACAAAUAUUAGUAACUCUAUAGCAAUUAUUUUCACUGUUCCAAACGUCAGUAGCCUGCUGUGUAAUUUGAAGCAGAACUGAAAAUUUUUCGAGCAUAAAUUUCAAUAUCUGUUCCUACUAUUGUGUGCUUGGCACACUCAGUUAAGAGCCACGACAAAAAUUAUGGCUCUACCUGCCUUGAAGGCCGAGAUAUCACUGCCACAAAUCAAGAAGUCAAAAAUCGGUGUUUUGAGAAAAUGAGAAAAAAGAAAUACGUUCACUUUUAAUCAAAAGUGCAAAAGAAAAUUUUCAAUAUAUUGCAGUGAAAUUGGCUAAAAGCC